UACGUAGGGUGCGAGCGUUGUCCGGAAUUAUUGGGCGUAAAGAGCUCGUAGGCGGUUUGUCACGUCUGCUGUGAAAUCCCGAGGCUCAACCUCGGGCCUGCAGUGGGUACGGGCAGACUGGAGUGCGGUAGGGGAGAAUGGAAUUCCUGGUGUAGCGGUGGAAUGCGCAGAUAUCAGGAAGAACACCCGUGGCGAAAGCGGCUCUCUGGAACGGUACUGACGCUGAGACGCGAAAGCGUGGGGAGCGAACAGG
rnacentral:rRNA from 1 species